rnacentral:rRNA from 1 species
ACCCUUCGAAUAAGGACCGGCUAAUUCCGUGCCAGCAGCCGCGGUAAUACGGAAGGUCCAGGCGUUAUCCGGAUUUAUUGGGUUUAAAGGGAGUGUAGGCGGUUUUUUAAGCGUGUUGUGAAAUGUAGAUGCUCAACAUCUGAAUUGCAGCGCGAACUGGAAGACUUGAGUGCACACAACGUAGGCGGAAUUCAUGGUGUAGCGGUGAAAUGCUUAGAUAUUAUGAAGAACUCCGAUUGCGAAGGCAGCUUACGGGAGUGUAACUGACGCUUAAGCUCGAAGGUGCGGGUAUCGAACAGGAUUAGAUACCCUGGUAGUCCGCACAGUAAACGAUGGAUGCCCGCUGUUAGCACCUGGUGUUAGCGGCUAAGCGAAAGCAUUAAGCAUCCCACCUGGGGAGUACGCCGGCAACGGUGAAACUCAAAGGAAUUGACGGGGGCCCGCACAAGCGGAGGAACAUGUGGUUUAAUUCGAUGAUACGCGAGGAACCUUACCCGGGCUUGAAUUGCCAGCGCACGAUACAGAGAUGUUGAGGUCCUUCGGGACGCUGGUGAAGGUGCUGCAUGGUUGUCGUCAGCUCGUGCCGUGAGGUGUCGGCUUAAGUGCCAUAACGAGCGCAACCCCUUUUCUUAGUUGCCAUCAGGUAAUGCUGGGCACUCUAGGGAUACUGCCACCGUAAGGUGUGAGGAAGGUGGGGAUGACGUCAAAUCAGCACGGCCCUUACGUCCGGGGCUACACACGUGUUACAAUGGCCGGUACAGAAUGUUGGUUGUGCGUAAGUACGAUCUAAUCUUUAAAGCCGGUCCCAGUUCGGACUGAGGUCUGCAACCCGACCUCACGAAGCUGGAUUCGCUAGUAAUCGCGCAUCAGCCAUGGCGCGGUGAAUACGUUCCCGGGCCUUGUACACACCGCCCGUCAAGCCAUGAAAGCCGGGGGUGCCUGAAGUUCGUAACCGCAAGGAGCGACCUAGGGCAAAACUGGUAAUUGGGGCUAAGUCGUAACAAGGUAGCCGUACCGGAAGGUGCGGCUG